AUGGACGGAGCAGUGCACACAAGUUCGCAAAGAGGGGCCACUUCGGCAGUGUGCCGCGAUGAGUCGGGCUUAUACGUUGGCUUGUCUGCAAUGGCUUUCCAGGGUCUGACGGAUCCAACGAUCCUGGAAGCCCUUGCGUGUCGAGAGGCUCUUGCCUUGGCUAAGGAUCUCAUGGUGCAGAAAUUUAGAGUAGCUUCAGACUGCAGGACAGUGAUGCAAGGCAUACAAAGUGGUACGCUAGGCCCAAUUGCACCAAUUGUUAAUGAGAUUCAUACUGCCAUUAGAGAUUUUAUUACUUGUAUUUUCGGUUUUGAAGGUAGAAGCUCCAAUACGGAGGCACACAGAUUAGCUAAACAUGCUUUAUUUUUGGAUGAGGGACGCCACUUGCGGUCUUUUAGAUAUGAAAACGUCUGGCAGUGCCAUGCCCAAUAUGAUCAACUGAUUCUCGAUCUUUGGCGGGUUGGCACUGGACAGGUUUACAAGGAGUGGUCGAUGCUUUGGCCAUCGUCCAAAAAGAUCUAG
rnacentral:rRNA from 1 species